rnacentral:rRNA from 1 species
UACGGGGGGAGCAAGCGUUGUUCGGAUUUACUGGGCGUAAAGGGCGCGUAGGCGGCACUGCAAGUCAGUUGUGAAAUCUCCGGGCUUAACCCGGAAAGGUCAACUGAUACUGCAGGGCUAGAGUGCAGAAGGGGCAACUGGAAUUCUCGGUGUAGCGGUGAAAUGCGUAGAUAUCGAGAGGAACACCUGCGGCGAAGGCGGGUUGCUGGGCUGACACUGACGCUGAGGCGCGACAGCGUGGGGAGCGAACGGG